rnacentral:misc_RNA from 1 species
GAUGAAGAACGCAGCGAAAUGCGAUAAGUAAUGUGAAUUGCAGAAUUCAGUGAAUCAUCGAAUCUUUGAACGCACAUUGCGCCCGCCAGUAUUCUGGCGGGCAUGCCUGUUCGAGCGUCAUUUCAACCAUCAAGCCCUGCUUGCGUUGGGGUCCUGCGGCUGCCCGCAGGCCCUGAAAACCAGUGGCGGGCUCGCUAGUCACACCGAGCGCAGUAAUACAUCUCGCUUUGGGCGUGCGGCGGGUUCUUGCCGUUAAACACCCCCUUUUUACCAAGGUUGACCUCGGAUCAGGUAGGAACACCCGCUGAACUUAAGCAUAUCAAUAAGCGGAGGA